rnacentral:rRNA from 1 species
GAUGAACGCUGGCGGCGUGCUUAACACAUGCAAGUCGAACGGGAUCCAAGGGGUGCUUGCACUUUUUGGUGAGAGUGGCGAACGGGUGAGUAACACGUGAGUAACCCGUCCUUUUCUUUGGGAUAAGCAUUCGAAAGGGUGUUUAAUACCUUAUGUUCUGUCUGCCUCGCAUGGGGUGGGUGGGAAAGGCUUUGGCCGGAUUUGGGUGGGCUCGCGGUCUAUCAGCUUGUUGGUGGGGUGAUGGCUUACCAAGGCUUUGACGGGUAGCCGGCCUGAGAGGGUGGUCGGUCACAUUGGGACUGAGAUACGGCCCAGACUCCUGCGGGAGGCAGCAGUGGGGGAUAUUGCACAAUGGGCGAAAGCCUGAUGCAGCGACGCCGCGUGGGGGAUGAAGGCCUUCGGGUUGUAAACUUCUUUUGCUCUGAACAAGGCAUGCCAGUGGGUGUGUUGAGUGUAGGGGUUGAUUAGCGCCGGCUAACUACGUG